CCUACGGGCGGCAGCAGUGGGGAAUAUUGCGCAAUGGGGGAAACCCUGACGCAGCAACGCCGCGUGAGUGAAGACGUCUCUCCGGAUUUUAAGCUCUAUCAGCGGGGGAGAAGAAAGACGCUACCCGACUACGAAGCGCCGGCUCACUACGUGCCAGCAGCCGCGGUAAUACGGAGGGGGCGAGCGUUAUCCGGAUUUACUGGGUGUAAAGGGAGCGUAGACGGGGUUGCAAGUCUGAAGUGAAAGCCCGUGGCUCAACCGCGGAACCGCUGUGGACACUGCGUGGCUGGAGUGCUGGAGAGGUAAGCGGAAUUCCUGGGGUAGCGGUGAAAUGCGUAGAUAUCAGGAGGAACACCGGUGGCGAAGGCGGCUUACUGGACAGUGACUGACGUUGAGGCUCGAAAGCGUGGGGAGCGAACAGGAUUAGAUACCCUGGUAGUC
rnacentral:rRNA from 1 species